rnacentral:rRNA from 1 species
GACGAACGCUGGCGGCGUGCUUAACACAUGCAAGUCGUACGGUAAGGCCCUUUCGGGGGUACCCGAGUGGCGAACGGGUGCGUAACACGUGCGUAACCUGCCCACAACUUUGGGAUAACGCUAGGAAACUGGUGCUAAUACUGGAUAUGUGCUCCUGCUGCAUGGUGGGGGUUGGAAAGCUCCGGCGGUUGUGGAUGGACUCGCGGCCUAUCAGCUUGUUGGUGGGGUAGUGGCCUACCAAGGCGGCGACGGGUAGCCGGCCUGAGAGGGUGACCGGCCACAUUGGGACUGAGAUACGGCCCAGACUCCUACGGGAGGCAGCAGGGGGGAAGAUUGCACAAGGGGCGCAAGCCGGAUGCAGCAACGCCGCGGGCGGGAUGACGGCCUUCGGGUUGGAAACCGCAUUCAGCAGGGACGAAGCUUUUUGUGACGGUACCUGCAGAAGAAGCACCGGCUAACUACGUG